CUAAAAUAGUGGCUCCGCCCGGCUCCUUCCCCAGCCCCGCACCAUCCCGUACCAAAAUACCCCCGAAUUUGCUCAUAAUUACACCCAAAUUGCCACCGCCUGAUCUUUCUCCGUCAUCUCCUCACGCGCUCCCUGCCCCCGUUCCUCUCUUCUCCUCUCCUCCACGGUGGCGGCGGCGCAUGGAUCCGGCGACGGCGCAGCCCGGAAACCACGCCCGAGCCGCCAAGAUCGAUGGAUCCGGUGGCUCUGAGCCCAUUCCGGGCGGGGGCGCCCUGCAUCCGGCCUUCCUGUGGGCGGGAGGGCCGCCGCUGGGUCCGCUCGACGCACUCCUCACGGCCGUGGGAGCGCCACUCAGCGGCGGGGCGAGCAAAUGGCCCGGCGCAGCAGGGGCCGGCGCGGCUGGCGCGUGGCCAGGCACGGCCGGCUCGUGGCCGGGCGUCGCGGGUGCCGGCGCGGCCACGGCGUAACGGGGGCAACUGGCGGGCCAGCCGCCGCGGGUGCAGGCGCGGCCUCCGCGUGGCCGGGUGCAGCCGGCAGGCUGGCCGCCGCGGGUGCCAGCGCGUGGCCGAGCGCGGCAGGCACCUCAGGAUCCGGGCGCGGUGCCCGGCGCGGGGGCCAGCGCGGCCAUGGCUGUGCCUGGUUAGUGGGGCUGGUCGGAAUGGCUUGCCGGAGCUGCGACGGCUCUUGGGCUGGAUUGGCUUCAUUCGGAGGCGGGCACUUCGGUCGGCGUCACCGGCGACAAACGGGGGAUGAGCCGAUGCUGGUUCGCGCCAGCUCUGCUCCAGCUCGAGGUGCCUCUGCUCGGCGACGUGGUGGCCGCGCACCUAGGCCGCCACCAUCGGCUACUGUUGUUCCUAGUUCUGUUGAUGUCGACGAUACUGAUACAAGGAAAAUGUUAUAUAAUUGAUGCUGGAUAUUCAAAUAGAUCAGGAUAACUAGCGCCAUACAAAGGUCGGUAUCACGUGCCAGAUUGGAGUUGGGGCCCUGCUCCUAAUGGUGAGCAAGAACAUUUUAACCAUUUACAUUUAAGUAUUCGCAAUAUGAUAGAACACUCUUUUGGUGCGUGGAAAAUGAAGUGGAGAGUCCUUCUCGAGUUUCCCAAUGGCAAAACAAAUGAUGAUUGUUGCUGCAAUCAUAUGUCUUCGUAACUUCAUUCGUGAGAACCAUGCACAUGAUAAAGAUUUCCGAAAAUGCGAUCGCAACCUGAUUAUGUGCCCACUGUACCUUCAAGAUAUAGGAAAUAUCAUAUUCCCCAAGACGCAGGAGAUACAGUCAAUUCGGAAUCUGAUGAUCGCACCAUGGAUAAAUUCCGAGAUGAUCUUGCGCGGGCCAUCUUUCUUUCUAGAUCAUUCUGAGCAAAUGUUAUGUCUACUCUUGUAAAUUAUGGACAGUUAAUUAUGCCUGCUCUUAUAAAUUGUGGACACUUAAUUAUGCCUAUUUUGUAAAUUAUGCCUUCUCUUUUAAAAGCUGGAAA